UACGAACCGUGCGAACGUUAUUCGGAAUCACUGGGCUUAAAGUGCGUGUAGGCGGAUGGGGACGUCGGUCGCUGAAAGCCCCCGGCUCAACCGGGGAAGUGGCGCCGAAACGCCCCGUCUGGAGGGACGUAGGGGGACCUGGAACUUCCGGUGGAGCGGUGAAAUGCGUUGAGAUCGGAAGGAACGCCCGUGGCGAAAGCGAGGUCCUGGACGUCUGCUGACGCUGAGACGCGAAAGCGAGGGGAGCGAACGGG
rnacentral:rRNA from 1 species